GUGGGGAAUCUUGCGCAAUGGGCGAAAGCCUGACGCAGCCAUGCCGCGUGAAUGAUGAAGGUCUUAGGAUUGUAAAAUUCUUUCACCGGGGACGAUAAUGACGGUACCCGGAGAAGAAGCUCCGGCUAACUUCGUGCCAGCAGCCGCGGUAAUACGAAGGGGGCUAGCGUUGCUCGGAAUUACUGGGCGUAAAGGGCGCGUAGGCGGACAGCUUAGUCAGAGGUGAAAGCCCAGGGCUCAACCUUGGAAUUGCCUUUGAUACUGGCUGGCUUGAGUUUGGGAGAGGUGAGUGGAACUCCGAGUGUAGAGGUGAAAUUCGUAGAUAUUCGGAAGAACACCAGUGGCGAAGGCGACUCACUGGCCCAAUACUGACGCUGAGGCGCGAAAGCGUGGGGAGCAAACAGGAUUAGAUACCCCAGUAGUCC
rnacentral:rRNA from 1 species